rnacentral:rRNA from 1 species
UUGUUCGGAAUCACUGGGCGUAAAACGUGCGUAGGCUGUUUCGUAAGUCGUGUGUGAAAGGCGCGGGCUCAACCCGCGGACGGCACAUGAUACUGCGAGACUAGAGUAAUGGAGGGGGAACCGGAAUUCUCGGUGUAGCAGUGAAAUGCGUAGAUAUCGAGAGGAACACUCGUGGCGAAGGCGGGUUCCUGGACAUUAACUGACGCUGAGGCACGAAGGCCAGGGGAGCGAAAGGGAUUAGAUACCCCUGUAGUCCUGGCAGUAAACGGUGCACGCUUGGUGUGCGGGGAAUCGACCCCCUGCGUGCCGGAACUAACGCGUUAAGCCUGCCGCCUGGGGAAUACGGUCCCCAGAUU